rnacentral:rRNA from 1 species
UACGAAGGGUGCAAGCGUUGUCCGGAAUUAUUGGGCGUAAAGGGCUCGUAGGCGGUCCAUCACGUCGGGAGUGAAAAGCUGGGGCUUAACCCCAGUCCUGCUUCCGAUACGGGUGGACUAGAGGUAGGCAGGGGAGAACGGAAUUCCUGGUGUAGCGGUGAAAUGCGCAGAUAUCAGGAGGAACACCGAUUGCGAAGGCAGCUCGCUGGAACGUUACUGACGCUGAGACGCGAAAGCGUGGGGAGCAAACAGG